rnacentral:tRNA from 1 species
GCGAGCGUAACUCAGUCGGUAGAGUCCUUGCUUCCCAAGCAAGUGGUCGUGGGUUCGACUCCCAUCGCUCGCU